UACGAAGGGUGCAAGCGUUACUCGGAAUUACUGGGCGUAAAGCGUGCGUAGGUGGUUUGUUAAGUCUGUUGUGAAAGCCCCGGGCUCAACCUGGGAAUGGCAAUGGAUACUGGCAAGCUAGAGUGCGGUAGAGGGUAGUGGAAUUCCCGGUGUAGCGGUGAAAUGCGUAGAGAUCGGGAGGAACACCAGUGGCGAAGGCGGCUACCUGGACCAGCACUGACACUGAGGCACGAAGGCGUGGGGAGCGAACGGG
rnacentral:rRNA from 1 species